UACGAAGGGGGCUAGCGUUGCUCGGAAUCACUGGGCGUAAAGGGCGCGUAGGCGGAUCUUUAAGUCGGGGGUGAAAGCCUGAGGCUCAACCUCAGAAUUGCCUUCGAUACUGAAGAUCUCGAGACCGGAAGAGGUAAGUGGAACUGCGAGUGUAGAGGUGAAAUUCGUAGAUAUUCGCAAGAACACCAGUGGCGAAGGCGGCUUACUGGUCCGGCUCUGACGCUGAGGCGCGAAAGCGUGGGGAGCAAACAGG
rnacentral:rRNA from 1 species